CAAAGGUUUGGUCCCGGCCUUUUUAUUAACUCCUAGUAAAAUUACACAUGCAAACAUCCCUGCCCCGGUGAAAAUGCCCUYAAUGUCUUUCUGACCAAAAGGAGCAGGCAUCAAGCUCACUAAUACAGUUGCUCACGACGCCUUGCCCCGCCACACCCCUACGGGAAACAGCAGUGAUUAAGAUUAGGCCUAUGAACGAAAGUUCGACCAAGUUAUACUAGAAAUUUAGAGUUGGUAAAUCUCGUGCCAGCCACCGCGGUCAUACGAUUAACCCUAGUUAAUAAAACACGGCGUAAAGCGUGAUAAAGAGAAAAUAGAUUAAUAAAACUAAACUCAAGCUAAGCUGUAAAAAGCCCUAGUCAUGGUAAAAUAACCUAACGAAAGUAGUUUUAAAUUAUCUGAUUUCACGAUAGCUAAGACCCAAACUGGGAUUAGAUACCCCACUAUGCUUAGCCCUAAACAUAGAUAUUCAAAUAACAAGACUAUUCGCCAGAGUACUAUUAGCCACCGCUUAAAACUCAAAGGACUUGGCGGUGCUUUAUAUCCCCCUAGAGGAGCCUGUUCUAUAAUCGAUAAUCCCCGAUACACCCUACCACCUUUUGCAAAAUCAGCCUAUAUACCGCCAUCUUCAGCAAACCCUAGCAAGGAUAAGAAGUAAGCACAACGAUUCAACAUAAAGACGUUAGGUCAAGGUGUAGCCCAUAAGGUGGAAAGUAAUGGGCUACAUUUUCUAACUNNNNNNNNNNNACCACGAUAGCUUUCAUGAAAUUCAAAGCCGAAGGCGGAUUUAGUAGUAAGCUGGGAAUAGAGAGCCCAACUGAACCGGGCAAUAAAGCACGCACACACCGCCCGUCACCCUCUUCAAAUUACUUAUACAAACAUUCACUAUAUAAUACCCGUUUACAAGAGUAUGAGAAGAGAUAAGUCGUAACAAGGUAAGCAUACUGGAAAGUGUGCUUGGAACAA
rnacentral:rRNA from 1 species